rnacentral:rRNA from 1 species
AAAGCGUGCGCAGGCGGUUAUGUAAGACAGAUGUGAAAUCCCCGGGCUCAACCUGGGAACUGCAUUUGUGACUGCAUGGCUAGAGUACGGUAGAGGGGGAUGGAAUUCCGCGUGUAGCAGUGAAAUGCGUAGAUAUGCGGAGGAACACCGAUGGCGAAGGCAAUCCCCUGGACCUGUACUGACGCUCAUGCACGAAAGCGUGGGGAGCAAACAGGAUUAGAUACCCGGGU